GCACAAGAGGUGAAAUGGCAUGUACACCUGUAGUCCCAGCUACUUGGGGGCUGAGGGAGGAGAACGGCUCGAGCCCGGGGGUUCUGGGCUGUAAUGCACUAUGCUGGUCCACACUAAGUUUAGCAUUAAUAAAGUGACUUCCUGGGAACAGGGACUACCAGAUUGCCUACAGCGGGGUAAACUGGCUCAGGUAGGAAACAGAGCAGGUCAAAACUCCUGUACGGCUCAGUAGUGGGAUGGUGCUGUGAAUAGCCACUGCUCUCCAGCCUGUGCAGCACAGCCAGAUAUUUUUUUU
rnacentral:SRP_RNA from 1 species